rnacentral:rRNA from 1 species
GAUCCUUCCGUAGGUGAACCUGCGGAAGGAUCAUUACAGUAUUCUUUUUGCCAGCGCUUAAUUGCGCGGCGAAAAAACCUUACACACAGUGUUUUUUGUUAUUACAAGAACUUUUGCUUUGGUCUGGACUAGAAAUAGUUUGGGCCAGAGGUUUACUGAACUAAACUUCAAUAUUUAUAUUGAAUUGUUAUUUAUUUAAUUGUCAAUUUGUUGAUUAAAUUCAAAAAAUCUUCAAAACUUUCAACAACGGAUCUCUUGGUUCUCGCAUCGAUGAAGAACGCAGCGAAAUGCGAUAAGUAAUAUGAAUUGCAGAUUUUCGUGAAUCAUCGAAUCUUUGAACGCACAUUGCGCCCUCUGGUAUUCCAGAGGGCAUGCCUGUUUGAGCGUCAUUUCUCUCUCAAACCUUCGGGUUUGGUAUUGAGUGAUACUCUUAGUCGAACUAGGCGUUUGCUUGAAAUGUAUUGGCAUGAGUGGUACUGGAUAGUGCUAUAUGACUUUCAAUGUAUUAGGUUUAUCCAACUCGUUGAAUAGUUUAAUGGUAUAUUUCUCGGUAUUCUAGGCUCGGCCUUACAAUAUAACAAACAAGUUGACCUCAAAUCAGGUAGGAUUACCCGCUGAACUUAAGCAUAUCAAU